CGGAGGGUGCAAGCGUUAUCCGGAUUCACUGGGUUUAAAGGGUGCGUAGGUGGGCAGGUAAGUCCGUGGUGAAAUCUCUGAGCUUAACUCAGAAACUGCCAUGGAUACUAUUUGUCUUGAAUAUUGUGGAGGUAAGCGGAAUAUGUCAUGUAGCGGUGAAAUGCUUAGAUAUGACAUAGAACACCAAUUGCGAAGGCAGCUUACUACACAGUUAUUGACGCUGAGGCACGAAAGCGUGGGGAUCAAACAGGAUUAGAUACCCUGGUAGUCCACGCCCUAAACGAUGAUUACUCGACAUCAGCGAUACACUGUUGGUGUCUGAGCGAAAGCGUUAAGUAAUCCACCUGGGAAGUACGACCGCAAGGUUG
rnacentral:rRNA from 1 species